UCCAUCCUUACUGCUAGCAAAGUGUCUGUUGGACUAUUGAUAGGGAUCCUCCAUUUUAAGACCAAAGGGAUUAUCAGGUCUGUGGAAGAAGAAACUGAUGAAUGCUGACAGGAUUUGGAAAAAGAAAUCCCACACCCUCUGAAAAUUGAGGAAGAACAGAACAAAGCAUCUCCAGAUGCAAAAGGCUGAUGUAUCAAUCUACUACCAGAAUGUGGAUUUCAGGUUCUGAGGUGAACUGCUGAGUGUGUCACAGUACAGCUGGUAGAGUUAAGUGUGGAAAGUCAGUCUGAGCACAUGCUGUAAUGGAUUUGACCUCGAAGAGCACAACAAAGAGAAAUUGCAGAUAACCAUCUGAACUGACUUCAGAAGCCUGUAGCCCUGACUCCCUGGAUACCAGGAGAAAAGAGAAGGACUAAAUAGAUUGGAAUGAACAAUCAGAAAUACAAGAGUGAAUAAAUGCUUAAUAUUUGAAGUGCUGACAGUAGAAGAAAACAUAGAAGAGCAGUACAUUUCCCUACAUGAUUCCAGUCAUAUUAAGAAAGUGAAAUUCCUUAAAAGACAGCUUUGUAAAAGUAAAAUAUAUAUUGAAUAGAAGUGAGAUGUGAAAGUAGUGUUGGAACAAUAAAGACAUGCAGCUGAGAAGGUCCUAAGCACCUUUUCAUGGUGAGCAAUUACUGAUUAAAAAUCCUAAGGAGAAAGGAGAAACUACUCACAUGGAGAGUAAGAGUUGCAUUCCUCUGAUGCAGUAUAUUUUAAAUUCUUAAUCAGCAUGGAUAAGAAAUUCAGAUAGAAUUAUGUAAGAAAAUGACACAGAUAGAUGCUUCUCUGGUCAUCACAAAACAGGAUUUCCAAUUCACAGGAAUCAGCUGAAUGCUUAUAUGUGGUUUUGGUCAGAAGUAUAAGGAAUUUUCCUGUGAGCUGCGAGUUCUGGGGGUGUUCCUUCUCCUAGAAACACUGUGCCUCCCAUUCAAGAUAUGCUCCCUGGACUACCGUUGUGCCUGCAGCAAGAUCUAUACUUGGUCCAUCCCAGCAGGACCCAGUUUAUGGCUCCAGCCUUACAGUUGGCAGUGGUGGAUUUUACAGGGCUCUGCCUCAAAAGAUCAUCAAAUGACAGAGCAUCUGGGAUAUAAGUACAGCCAUUUUUGGAUCACGUUUUUCUGGGCUGAAACGCUGUACAUUUUUGAGCAAACCAAAUUCAGAGGCUUCAAUUAAAAUACUGUACCUACAUGCUGGUUCCCGGCAGGCAAAGUGUGGGAAGAAAUGGCCUUAAGCACGAGAGGUGUAGGUAUGCAGAAAUGAAAGCAGAAGGUGAAAGCACAACUAUUUGAUUUAUUCAAUGGUAUAAAAGGGCAAAUAUCUGCAACUCGAAUGAUUCCAUCAGUUUGACCUUCCUAAAGUUAACUUGAGACUGCAAAAAUCACCGUACUGUAUGCUUGUGGUCUAAAACAAGAAGAUGGAAGAUAGAAAAGAAAAUGGAGGCUAAGAGAGUCAAAAGGACAUCUAUGUUUGUUUUCCCAGAAAACAUCAGGGCAGAACUGGGAGUAGAGCCCAGCUCACGUUGUAUCCACUACUUGUUAUAAGGAUGGGCUUUCCACUUGGUUAUUCUUCAUAUUACAUUUAUUAGCAGAAGUAGGAUUAGGAGGAGCUUUGUGGAUGCUCUGGGACUGGAGACUGCUGUGAUCAAGUGCUACUUGUUUUCUGUCUAUUGUGUUUAAAAAGAGAGGCAGAGUAAGGAGAUAGAAAGUGUGCACAUGUUCAGUGCUGCAUCUGCUCUACAAAGCCCCAAGUCAGAGUAAAAAUAAGUCUUUGAAGAGAAUAUAGACAGCAGUGUAUUUAGUUUUGAUUUAUUAAAAUAGUUUUCAGACUGCAGUCUUAUUUGUCCUGCGAGAACUGCACUCUCUGGUAAUGGGAGCAUUGAAUUUUCAUGUGAAACAUUUUAGAGAGCAUAUUUUUUUUCCACGUACAAGAGUGUGACAAGAAUCUGUUCUUGUAUGAUGAUGUGCAAGUUAUUACAGCUGCUAUGCUAAACAUGUAUUUAUGAUCACUGCUGGCACGGCUGCUGUGUAUUUUGUUUAUAUUGUUAGAAAUCUAGUUGUGACACAUUAUAAAAAAUGCAUUCUUUUGUGAUAGUCUUACACUAAAGCAGAAUAAAUCAUACCUCCUACCUCUGUUCUUGCUUUUCUGAUAUUGCACCUUUGCUUUUCCCUACCCCAGAGGAGGGAGCGCCUGUGUGAUUCUCAGUCCCAUACCAGAUGAUGUCGAAGGCCUCAUGAAAGGGCAAAAAUAAAUGCCUUAAUAUAGCUGUCAGAAAGAUGAGCCCCAAACCUCUGCAUGCAGCAGCUAUGGUCCUUCAAUCAGAAUAAGUUGCUUUCAUUAAAUGCUAGUUUGGGAGCAGUCUAGAAAAACUUUAUGCGUGUGAAGAACAAUGUAAUGAAUAAUUUCAAAAUGGGGAAAACAAAGCUUUCAAAAUACACAAGAGUUAGCCAGAUGCAACGCUAGACAAGUAUUCCUCAUGUCAUUCAUUUACCCUGCUCUUUCACACUAACAUGGAUAAAAGAUAUGACUACCUCUGCGUGCAUUUUUUUUUUUUAAUGAAAGCACAGUCAGAUUGCAGCAGAAUUUAAAAGCUCAAGUUUUGGUACUUUUGAAUUAGAUUUCCUUGUUUCUUUUCAUUUACCCAAACAGAA